rnacentral:rRNA from 1 species
GCCUAGCCGUAACACAACAAUUAAAUUACCAAUUGUUCGCCAAAUAACUACGAGUAAAGAGCUUAAAAUUUAAAAGACUUGACGGUACCUCAUAACAACCUAGAGGAGCCUGUCAAAUAACCGAUACUCCACGAUUAACCCAACCUCCCCUAGCCUUAACAGUCUAUAUACCGCCGUCGCCAGCCUACCUUGUGAAAGAAACAAAGUGAGCUAAAUAGCCGCCACACUAACACGACAGGUCGAGGUGUAACUUAUGGGAAGGACCAUGAUGGGCUACAUUUUCUAAAACAGAAAACACGAAUAAACUAUGAAAUAAGAAACUGAAGGCGGAUUUAGCAGUAAACUAAGAACAAAAUACCUAGUUGAAACCAAUGCAAUGAGGUGCGUACACACCGCCCGUCAUCCCUGUCAACCAAACAACAAAAUUCAUAAACAAAAGUAUUACCCAAAACAGGGCAAGUCGUAACAUGGUAAGCGUACUGGAAAGUGCGCUUAGAAACAAAAAGUAGCUUACAACAAAGCAUUCGACCUACACUCGAACGACAUUAAAAUAAUCUUUUUGAGCUAAUAACUAAACCACCACAAACACACUAUUAUUAACAUAAACAAAACAUUUGACAAACCAAGUAGAUGUGAUC